GCGAUUUUGUUUGCUGUUUCAAAUAAAAUCAAAUAUGAAUUCACCUAACAAAUGUCGAAUGGUGAGCAUAUUUUGAACCGCAGUACGAAAUUCAAUUAAGAUCAGAAAAACACGGAACCUUCGUGGAAAGUCAUGAAUCGAGUACUAGUUGGUGUGUAAAAAAAUGAGAACAUUCUAAUUUGGUCGAAAAAACGGAGUUCCUUACGGGAGAAGCGUUUGGGUGGUUACAUCAAAGGUUAUUUCGGAAGGGGGUUUUUUUUUUUUGACCUCCCCGGAAUUGGCCCAAAUUUGUUUUUCCAGGCACGUGCAUCUUAACCACCACUACCUAUUUAGUUUCUUGUUUUGAAUAAAAUCAAAUAUGAAUUCACGCAAGAAAUGUCGAAUGCUGAGCAAAAUUUGAACAGCCGUACGAAAUUCAAAUAAGAUUAAAAAACCACGAAACCUUCAUGGAGUGUAACGAACCAACUGCUAGUUGAUGUUUAAAACAAUAAGGACAUUCCAAGUUUGUCGAAAAAAGGGAGUUUUUUUUACUAUAGAAGCGUUUGGGUUACAUCAUACAUCAUUUCGGUAGGGGGUCCGCUUAGGGUUUAGGAUUAGGGUUUAGGGUCCCGAUGUGAGUUUUGUGACCACGGGUACACGAUGUCGUGUAGUUCCGGUAUCAUGCAGAAAAACCACCGUUUUGGCCGUUUUCGUGGAUUAUAGCCCACGUUUUUUUGGUCCCGGACCGAUUUUCCGAGGUAGUGACCCCGGAUACACGAUUUCAGGCAAUUUCAGGGC
rnacentral:lncRNA from 1 species